rnacentral:lncRNA from 1 species
CGAUCUCCCUACCCUCGUCUGCUAUUUUGGAUUGUGGUGUGACGGAGGGUAUAAUGUUGGGAGAUUGAAGAGUUUGAUAAGGUCAGAUGGUGCUAAUUACACUGCCGAGUUAGAGGAGUUGUAUGCUGCUACCCAAUGUGUCAAAUUCGCAAAGCCUUAGUUCUUCAUACCAAAUACUAUCCCGAUGGCAUUCCCGUCACAAUCAUUGAUACUCCAUCCAGUCGAACAAAAGAAGCACGGACUUCGCGAUAGGCUACUUAUCUAGGUUAAGCUUUGUUUCGAUUGUGACAAGCGGAUUUGGAAUCCAAACCAUUCAAAGAGCCGAUUUUAGAACUUGAAUUUGAUUUUGAAAGGCGAAGGUCAACUAAGAAUGAUCAUGGGAGGUUGGAACUUGGAAUGAUUAUUGGUCUGUCUUUGGGAGGUUUCCUUGCACAUGUUUAUAUCUUCAAUUGUCAUCAUCAUCAUCAGAUGAAGAUGCUUUCUUCACUUCACAUGUGACGUCCCGGUAAGGCUGGUUUGGAUAAUCAGAUGGAGUUGAAGGUCAAGACUGUUUAAGCAUCUGCAUAUCUUAACGGAACGUUCUGCUUGUAACAAGAGGUAUGGUCUAAGCAGAUGGGAAAGGUACAUAAAAGAAGUUGGGUUAUCGACUGGUUACAAGUAUGUUUUCAGGAUCAUCAAGAAAGAUUGUAUGUUGUUAAAUUCAGUAGCAUAGGUUACAACAAAUAAUGGUACAGUUAAAACCGAAACCUUUUAGGCAUUUUACCUUCUGAACUUUGCUCAUGUUUCGAUGAAUGGUUAUAAACAUGUUUUUUU